AGCAGCUCACUGGGUUUAAAGCGUGCGCAGGCGGUUUUGUAAGACAGAGGUGAAAUCCCCGGGCUCAACCUGGGAACUGCCUUUGUGACUGCAAGGCUGGAGUGCGGCAGAGGGGGAUGGAAUUCCGCGUGUAGCAGUGAAAUGCGUAGAUAUGCGGAGGAACACCGAUGGCGAAGGCAAUCCCCUGGGCCUGCACUGACGCUCAUGCACGAAAGCGUGGGGAGCAAACA
rnacentral:rRNA from 1 species